AAAUACUCUUGUUUCUCAUUGUAGGUAUAUAUUGUACCUAUUAACUAGUAAAAUUCCAGCCAACUCUGCUGCCAAAGUAAAUUUCUGAAAGGCUUCGAGAGCUAUCUAAAUAUAUCGUGGAACUCAGUUUUGGACUGUAAAUCAAACAUUGUAGAAAAAACAUUGAUAUCAUCCGCGGGAGUAAAGAAUAUUAUAAUGCAUCUUUUAUUGCGGCAGUAAAAAUAUGUUUUAUAUUUACAACCGAACGAUGCUUUCCGAUAGGUUACGAUUGUUUAACUGUUUUUAUCGACGUCGUUAAGCUUUUUCUUUGAACGUGAGAUGGCUGAAUAUGUGUAUAAUAGAGCCCUUAUUCUACAAUUAUUUACACAACGAUAAAAAUAAUAAUAACAUUGUUAUAAUAUUUAUUUUAAGGUUCAAAACAAAAUCUCUGCACUGUUAAAAUUUAUUUACUAAUUUUAAUACGUAAUUUAGUUACGUUGCCAUUACAUGAGAAUGUAUUUACUAAGAAAUAAAUGUUCUGUACUGUCAAUAUCGAUGACCCAACAAAGGUAUUGUAUUUAUUUAGUUUCGAACUAUGGACGGGUAGUUCCCACGGUCAGCGUGUCGCUUGCACGGAAAAUGUUUGUCUGGAAAAAAUAGACGAUACAAUAUCUGUUUUAGGAAAGAUGUUAUUGGAAAUUCAUAUAAUUUGUAGAUGAUAGGGUAAUUUAUACUUGGUUAGUCGUGAAUAUAAGUAGAUAUUUUUUUCAAUAAGCUUCAUUUAUAUAACAUACCAUUAUAUUAAUAUACAAAAUAACGUUUAGUAAAA